CGACAUGUUUUUAAACUCUAGCCAAUUUCCUUCUCUCCACUUUUAGACUCUUUAUUUUCUUUUCGUCCAGUCUUUGGUUUGGUUGUUGGAGUGCAAACAAUUGUUGGACAUUUUUCUCCAUUGAUGACCUUUGCCUCCUUAUGGGGUGCUCUGUGUGCAGGUUUGGAGGGGAUGAGGUUAGGGAUCUAUUGACGACAUAUUUUGGGAUCAACAGAUUAGCGCCGUUUGUGAAAAACGGUAUAUUAAUCAUGUUAUACUACAUCCUGAAGGCCACCGGAGAACAGGAGAGAAUUUUUUCGGUCAGUUUCUCCUCCAAAAGUAAAGGCAGUGACCAAAGAACGAAGGAAUGGAAAUAUCUAUCAAAUAAAAAACAUUACUUUGGCAAGUAUAAGAAUUUUUCGGGUAGUUUCUCCUACUAGAAAAUUGAAGAAGUCAUCUACCAAAAAUGAGGAAAAUCGCUUCAAGAAGAUGGAAACAGCCUUGACAGCUUAGGGAUUCUAUGAUGAGUUUUUUCUAACGUUAGACUCAAGAAAAUGGGCCACAGAUACAAAGCAUCCGAAGUUUUCCAUAGCGAAAAUGGAAAAAUCUGGUCAAGUGUUGAAAAAAAAAAUUGAGAAGAAUGGUUGUUUUUUUUUUUUUUUUUUUU
rnacentral:lncRNA from 1 species